GAGCCAGCUAGGUGCCCCUGCCUCCUUCUAUCUUUGCCAGUCCCUCCCAUGGGGCUUUCCUUGAGUGUUUGACCAGCUCCCUUAGCCGCAGCUUCCCCGCCAGCUCCCAGGUGGCUCCUAGGCUCCGCCCUUCUGCAGGCCCCGCCCACACCACACCUGCUGGCCAAUCCUGGGCUCCGCUCUGCGCGCAUCACAAUAGCGCCCUUGGGACCGCCUCCUGCAGUCCUGCCAGGGCCGAGUAUUGCCAUGGGGACCACAAACAGCCUGGGCCAGUAGGAGAGAGGAGGACUUUCCCCAGAGGAAGCGGCCUCACCUGGGGAGACACUCACACGUACCCAAGGAGCAGGGCUGAAGCAGAGGAUGAUCCUGGAGAAGUGCGAGCUACAGACUUCUCCCCAGAGCCCAGGCCUGUCUCUGUCUAUUCAUGGAGUUUGUAAGUCAGCGUGAAGGCUCAUUGACUGAGGAUGUGUGACUUUGUUCCCCCUGGACGCUGAGGGCAAUGCAGUACCAAUGCACAAUGCAACGACAUACAAGUCUCUAUGGAUUCUUGAAACACAGGCACAACCCUAUAUUCCCGCUAGUGCUUCUGUGUCUGGUAAGACUGAGUUUGCCCCGUUAACCGUGCUCGUGUUUCCCGCGGCCGGCACUGCAGCUGCCCGGUUGCCGCUUGUGACGUCACAGCCCGGGGGUGGUCGGCCCGACCUGGUUUUCCCAUCUGUCCUGCUAUGUGGAGGGGCAGCCUUCCAGCAGGUGAGGUUCCCCCCCCCCACCAAGAUUGCUAGAUCUUAGUGUAGCAGAGAUGACUGCACGUCUGGGAGGCUGGUGAAGAGGAUGUGUGGAUGAGC
rnacentral:lncRNA from 1 species